UACGUAGGGUGCGAGCGUUGUCCGGAAUUAUUGGGCGUAAAGAGCUCGUAGGCGGUUUGUCGCGUCGGCCGUGAAAACUUGGGGCUUAACCCCAAGCCUGCGGUCGAUACGGGCAGACUUGAGUUCGGCAGGGGAGACUGGAAUUCCUGGUGUAGCGGUGAAAUGCGCAGAUAUCAGGAGGAACACCGGUGGCGAAGGCGGGUCUCUGGGCCGAUACUGACGCUGAGGCGCGAAAGCGUGGGUAGCAAACGGG
rnacentral:rRNA from 1 species